UACGUGGGGGGCGAGCGUUGUCCGGAGUUACUGGGCGUAAAGCGCACGCAGGCGGUCUGCUAAGUUUGGAGUGACAGUUGGUGGCUUAACUGCCAAAGUGCUUCGAAAACUGACAGACUUGAGGGCUUCAGAGGGACACGGAAUUCCGGGUGGAGUGGUGAAAUGCGUAGAGAUCCGGAGGAACACCAAAGGCGAAGGCAGUGUCCUGGGGAGUACCUGACGCUCAGGUGCGAAAGCCAGGGGAGCGAACGGG
rnacentral:rRNA from 1 species